rnacentral:rRNA from 1 species
GAUGAACGCUGGCGGCGUGCCUAAUACAUGCAAGUCGAGCGGACAGGUCAGGCGUUUGCGGGUUGCUCGUUAGGCGAGGAGGUGUGAGACACGUGAGUAUCCUGCACCUAUCAUUCGGGUAUCUCCUCGAGAAUGGGGCGCUUACCGCGUAUAACCUCCUGAUCCGCAUGGUUGGUUAGUAAGAUUCGGCUGUGGGGGAUCGACUCGAGGCUUCCGCGCCUUUUUGGCUGGUAGUGGCUUACCAAGGCUUUGACGGGUAGCCGGCCUGGGAGGGUGACCGGCCACAUUGCGACUGCGAUACGGCCCAGACGCCUACGUGAGGCAGCAGUGGAGAAUAUUGCACAACGGGCCGAAGCGUGAUGCAGAGACGUCGCGUGCGGGAUGACGUCCUUCGGGGUGUAAACCGAUUUCGCCUGUGACGAAGCGUGAGUGACGGUAAUGGGUAAAGAAGCACCGGCUAACUACGUG